rnacentral:tRNA from 2 species
GCCGAGAUGGUGGAAUGGUAGACACACUGGGUUUAGGACCCAGCGCUCGCAAGAGCAUGAGAGUUCAAGUCUCUCUCUCGGCACUA